UUUUUAUAUAAUUAAGGCCGUUAGUUUUCUCGUUUGAAUUGUUUUACAUUGUCAUAUCGGGGACUUUUAUAGCUGACUAUGCGGUAUGGGCUUUGCUCAUUGUUGAAGGCCGUACGGUGAUCUAUAAAUGUUAAUUUCUGUGUCAUUUUGGUCUCUUGUGGACAGCUGUCUCAUUGGCAAUCAUACCACAUCUUCUUUUUUUUAUAGAUCCAACGCUGCAAUUUUCACAAAAUAUAUCAAAUUUUCCACCUUGUCGCACAUACAUAUGGAUAAAAAUCCUUACAGCUUAUUUCCUAAUGCACGUGGAGCAAAACUUUGGUUAGCUUGCUUGCUUUUUUUGUA
rnacentral:lncRNA from 1 species